rfam:Marine metagenome 1096626454176, whole genome shotgun sequence.
CCUGUUAUACGGCUAAUAGUAGCCUAGGGAUAGUGCGAUGCUGGUAACGGCAUGGUGCGGAGCUUCCUGACAAUGUACCUCUGCGCAAGCAGUACUUUAACCCGCGAGGGUGGGUAUAGCACACGAACAAUACGGAGCUGG